AUCCAUUAAUUACGUUUAGUAGACAUAGUACUAGAGCCGAUUUACGCAAUCGAAUACCGCCGGAAGUAGAACAUUUAUGUCAACACCGGUUUCGUAUUUUCACGUGAAAACGGCCGAAAACCGAGAGGUUAUCAACAAAUUAUAAGUUUACGGGUUCCAUGAGGAUUUUUCAUGCAUUUAAACGACAGAAGUACAAGUGAACAGAUGACAUAUUAAAGUGGCUGCAGAAGCUUGAAAAGUUAGAUAGAGCAGGGGCAGUCAAAACAGUGGGACAAUACUUCUAUGGUGUCCAACAUGUCUAGUCAGGUUGACAGAAGUGAAAGAUGGUCUGAUGGUACAAUGAUGUACAAUGAUACUCUUUAACAAGUUUAAGAUGUCAAGGUGUAAAAUGUUCUGUGGAUUCAUAUGAUGAGAAUGCCAGUGUUGAUCUGUAUGACUUAAUUAAACACAGAUAUUGAUACCUUCAGAUAUGUACCUGUGAAAUCUUCAGUGUCACCGUUCAGCUAUUGUUCAAGAUCAGUGUCUGCAGCUUGCACAGUUUAGUAUAGAGGAGCCUUCUGAAUCAAUUUUGUUACAUAUUUGCUGUUAUUGUAGGACACACAUGUAGAGAGCAACAAGUCCUGUCCAGCCGUGCAUGUAAAUGUGAUUCAGAAACUUUGAGAAUAUGUAAACAUUACACUGUUAUAAUUUUCAAAAUGCUGUGUCCUGCAGUGUAUCAAUACUGUUUUGUCUCAGUUUAUAGCACAAUUUGUUCACAAAUCAAACUUAAGACCAUAGUGAUCAGUAUUAUUAAAAUCAUAAAUUAUUUGUAUGGUGACAAAAUUUAAUUUCAUGCAAUACCACAGUAAAACGUUUGAUAAUUUUCACUUUAAAAGUUGUAAGUUUAAAGUUGGCAUAAAUUGUUUUUCUCCUUCAUAAAUCUAAAAAGUGAUUGGUCAUUAUAAUUGCAAUAUCAUUUUAGUAUGACAAAGUUUAUAUUGAACUAAAACACUAAUGUAAAUUUUUGAACUAGUCAAUGCAUUUUCUGGGGCCUCCGUGGCCGAGUGGUUAGAGUCGUUGACUUCAAACCAUUUGCCCCUCAUCGAUGUGGGUUCGAAACCUCAUUUGGGGCGUAGAAUUCUUCACGUGAGGAAGCCAUCCAGCUGGCUUACGGAAGGUCGGUGGUUCUACCCAGGUGCCCGCUGGUGAUGAAAUAGUGCACGGAGGGGCAUCUGGGGUCUUCCUCCACCAUUAAAGCUGGAAAGUCGCCAUAUGACCUAAAAUUGUGUCGGUGCGACGUUAAACCCAACAAAAUAAAUAAACAAUGCAUUUUCUUCAGUCUUAAAACAUUUGUUUAUCGUAGGUGUCAUGGCCCAUAAGUCCUCCAUAUUAUUUGUGUUUUGUCCUUUUUAGUUUCACUGAAGAAUAGGUAGAGGUAUUGCACAUCCAUUUUAUAGCAUCCCUAUUUUGUAAAGUGUUGUAUGUAAGGUUUUAUCUCGGAAUUAUGUUUCAUCUAAAGGUGGGGAGAGGUAUUGUUUAUGCCUUCUCGUCUGUCCGCAUUAAGCCUGUCUGGCUUUAAGAAGACAAGCUGCUGGCCAGAUUUUGAUGAAACUUCACAAGACUGAUCAGUACCAAGCAUAGUGUUGUGCAUAUCGCUUGCAUGUUUCGUUUCGAUGCACUAAAUUGCAGCCAAAGCUAAAAAUAGAAAAAUUUUGUCGGCUUUCACAGGUCAAAACUACUUAACAGAUUUUGAUGAAACUUCACAGGAGUGAUCAGUACCAAGUAUAUUUUUGCAUAUCACCGACACCUUCCAUUUUGCUGCACAAAAUAGCUGCCAUACUAUUGCUAAAGGUAUACAUAGGUGGGAGACAUAUUUUGUCAUAAAAAUACCUAAAACACCUUCCACUUUCGUCUUUGUUAAUGAAAAAUGUAUCAAACUUCUUACAAUUACAAACUGUAAUAUUUUGACAUUAAAUGCACUAGUUCCAUAACUGCAUUUGGCUUUUUUCAUAGUUAUUGCCAUUUUCUUACCAUAGCAAUAUUUUGUGUAACAUGUUACCUCAUUAAGCAUCAUAAGAUCAGAAAGUUCUAUGACUCAGAAAUGUUGGCCCUUUUGUACUUGUCAUGAGUAUGUUUUCAGUAUUUUAUAUUGUCAUUACUUUUUGUUGUGCCAGUUUACGGAAAUGAAGACUUAGUUGUCCAAAUGUGUGCCUGUGCCUGUCCUGAUUUGUUUGUCUGGACAAUAUAUUAUUGAUUAGUCUUCACGAAACUUUGCAGGUUAAUUUCCUUAAGUUCCCUGUCAACUUUGAUAGUGGCAUGGUUACUUUAGAAACACUAAAGUGAUGUCACCACUGUACUAGUCAAACGUUUUGUAUUUCAGAUUUUAUAUCACAUUACAGGCUACUGGUCUUUAGCAGCCUUCAUAAAACUUUCAUAAACGUUUCCAAAAAUGUUGUAUUUUGAUUUGAGCUGGCAUUAUUCAAACAUUAAGAAGUAGUACUAUAAGGCAACAUUUGACCUCUUUUCCAGUACUUUUUGAUUUUCUCUGUUACUAUGAAGUUUCCUUUUCCUAGAAAUUAGUUGGCUUAUUUUUGAUGAUCUUAUGUUUUUAAUGAAUUGUAGCUAUGUUCUUUAUCUCAUAAAAAUGUCCAUUUUUAUAUAAUUCAUAUUUUUUACUGUCAACUAAGUGCAAUACCAUAUACUUAUAUCACUUUCAUUAACAUACUUGUACUAUUUUCAUAAAACAUUAUAUAAAUCAUUAUAUUUCAUAUAAACAGAAUUAAAUAAAUAUUUAAGAACA